AAGGUGGAGCGAUCUGCCGCGGCCGUAAGGCUGAGGAAAGUCCGGACAGGAAAGGGCGCCCCGCUGCGGAAAUCGCAGAUGGGAGUAAUCUUCUGCAAGCCGUAACAGAAAACGACCGCCAUUUUUGAAGGGAGGCUCCGGCCUCCAACCAACGGUGGCAAGGGUGAAAACGCGAGGCAAGAGCUCACGACGCCGGGUGGUGACAUCCGACGGGUACGGCACCGGGGCCUGCAAGACCAAAUAUACUGGCAGAUGAGGGCUGCCCGCCCGAUGCCAGGGGGUAGGUUGCGAAGAUAAAUGGCAGAUUCAAAAACAGAAACCGGCUUACGGCUCCACCUUUUAU
rnacentral:RNase_P_RNA from 1 species